rnacentral:tRNA from 2 species
GCUGGCGUAGCUCAAUGGAAGAGCAGCUGACUUGUAAUCAGCAGGUUGCCGGUUCGAAUCCGGCCGCCAGCU